CCGUCACCCACGCGCACACGUUCCUCACCCCACCCUUCUAGCUCCCGAUCCCAUCUCCCCACCGGCCUCAACUUGGCUAUGGCGACGGGGAUCAACAACUCCUCUCCUUUGCCUUCUCAAUCGCCGCCCGCCACACGCCUCCCCGCGUCCCUCCUUCAUUCCCGUCCUCGAUUGGGCCGCCGCCGCCACCGCGCCAUCAGGGACGCCGGGGGAGUGCAACCACCGCGCCGCCAGGGUACGCCGCGUGUACCGGCAAUGCGUGAGUCGCCGCGGGUACCGCGCCGGUCGCUGCUUCUGACGAUGCGGGAGCCGCCCCAUCCGGCGAGGACGAGGGGCCCCGUCACCGCUGAUCCUCAGGGCGCAUGCUGCAUCUGAAGCCUCCCUAAUGAUCUCGUCCAUGGAGCACUGGAGUAUUGUUGUUGCGCCACUCCUUUUGUUCAUCGCCAAGAAGCAGGAGCAAGGCGGUGCGUCUCCCGUCCUGAUGAUCUCACAUACACCGUAGAGUAUUUUGUUUAGUUUUAUACUGACAUCACCACAUGGCUAUUGCUAAUUUCCAUGGGCCCCUUUCACGUGAUUGGUGACGGAAUUCCUUCUGUCAUGUCCAUUUACUCCCCAUCUCAUGGCUGGAGUUUGGUCCUAAUUACAGGCCCGGCUUUGAAUUAGUAAUUAGGAGGCACUAACAUGUUGGCUGAGAAGAAGGAAAAGAACUAGCAUGCAUAUUUAGAUCGAUAACCCUGUCAAUUUCUAAACUGAACCUCUCAGUUCCAGUGCAUAUAAAAGAAUAUCCAUUGUUUUAGGUUUUCGUGCAACUUGCCCAAAGCCACCAUAUGCACACUUUUGCCAAUGUCACAACUUUUAGUUUUAGAUAUAUACAUUAUUCAUAUUAUGCUUGUCAGAAUAUAUAAUUAUGUUUACUGUUCCAAUGAUUUCAGCUACUGAUGAUGCCGGUUUAAUUUGAUCAUGUGGCAUGUAGCUAAUUUGUUGUUUGCUGCAAUACAGAGAGGAAUUGUCCAACUGCCUUAAUUCAAGUUCAUUCUGAACAACACAUAAUUUUUCAAUGUACAGAAAAAGAUCCAAAAGCCCAUUGUUAUAUAGAAAAAAACUGAUUCAACUCAUAGGGUUGUGCAUGGCAUUUAUUAAUUGUAGGGCCCCAUUUUGCAUUUCGCACUGGGGCCUUGAAUUUCUAGAAUGCCCAUGCGUGUCGAAGAGGAUGCACGGCGCUGCAUCGAUGGCCACCAUGACGGGGCAAGCUGAUGGCAUCAAGCAUGAUGUAUGGAUGUGGGGUCUUCCUUUACGUGAUGUUGGAUGGUACCUACCCUUUUGAGGAUCCAGAAGAUCACAAGAAUUUCAAAAUGAAAGUUCAGUUCUCAUUUUCGGACUUCCACCUUAUGAAUCAGUUUACCAAGAUGUGGAUGGUCAGGAGAUGCGAGCCCAACAAAGAUUUUGCUCAAGGCUACAACUUGAACCUCAAUCCUACAUGAAAAUUUAAUUUGUGCCAUGAAAAAUUCAGUUAGCUUUACGAUUCUAUUUUCGGUAUUCAUUUCUAUUAGAAGUUAAAAUAAGAACUCAAGUAUGUUCCUUACUGGAGUCAAUUGCGUGAUCAUUAAGCGGGUCAAAACUGAACAGUGUAUUGACCACCCAUCCUGUAUUAGACAAGGAAGCAUAUACACAUCAUUUAUACAUGGUUAGUGUGGAGCCAAAACCAUCCAGACUGAUCCAGCCAGUCCAGAUUCCGAGUGGACCAAGUAGGCGUGCGAAUGAUAUACAUCAGACCAUCUCCAUUAUAUUCUGAGCGAUCCGUUGAGUUUGCUGACUCUGACUAUCCUCCAUGUCCUACUCUGGUGAUGCUCCAACGUUCUCCUAGAGGUCUGCGUCAACAGCCUUCAAGAGUUUUUAUCAUUCACAUGAGUUCUAUUGAUUUGUCUUUAUUAGAAAAAGGGAAAUGGUGUACAUCUAAGUUCAUCUAAGUUAGCUUAGCAAAAUAGCAAACUUGGUUGAUUUUACAUUCAUAGGAAACAGGCGAGCUCAUCACACCGUUGAGCUGUUGCAAUUCUACAUCCUAAUACAAACAUGGAAUCUAGAGGUGGAAAUACGAUACAUCACUCUUCUCUCCUCUCUCCUCUCGUGCAAGAGCCUCCAAAUCAGUGGUUCAGGCUGUGGAUUUGGGGCUAUGGGCUAUUGAAAUCCGGCUAGGAGGGAUCUAGGUGUAUUUCAGCUUAUGGGAAAGCUUGGCUGAGUUUCAACUAUCUAUUGCCGUGGUGGAUGAGACUCAGUGGUCAUGGGAGACUACUGGCAUCUUCUGGGUGAGAUCUGUUUAUAUAUGCAGCAUGCUUUGCAUGAAGGAAGGUGAUAUCUACAGCAAGGUUGGCGUGGACCUAAAGUUUUGUGGAUCCAAAACUACGCACAACGCCGGAUAUUCAGUCCCUAGCAAAACUUCUUCACAGUUGGCCCUGGAUGGACCAUAGCAUUUCAUCAUGCAGGGGCUGGAUGGCCACCUCCAACCUCGCCUCUCUGCAGUAGCCCGCUCUGAACCUGCUGAUCUCAGGGAGGAGCUGUGUGGAACUGCGGCCUGGUGAGCAUGACGCGCGCUGCAUGCGCUCCUCUAGGGUGGCUUUCUCGGCGAGGGCGGCGUACCAGGCUGCUGUGGCAAUCCACGAGCUAGAUGCGUUUUCACCCACCAUCUGGCGCAGCUUUGCCCCGGGGAAGUGCAAGUUCUUCUUAUGGUUGUGCCAUCGUCGGCGCCUCCCGUGCGCCGCCCUGCUCCAUCGAAGACAUAUCAUCGACAGUGCUGCCUGCGCGUUUUGCGGUCAGGAGGAGACCCUGGUACAUUUGCUGUUCGGGUGUAGGCAUGCUUGCGCCGUUUGGGCCGUGAUCACCCCGGGUGCCACGCCAGCUUCCUCUGUUGAAGGUCUAUGCACAGCUCCCCCCCCCCCACCCCCCCCCUAUUGCGAUUCUCUGGAACAUUUGGAAGAGCAGGAAUGCCAGGGUCUUUCGUGGCCAAGACCUCCCUCCGCUUGAGGUUGUUCGCUGCAUCGCUGCUGAUGUCUCCCUUUGGAGAUGGAGAUGCUCCCGCACCAUCUGCAAGAUGAUCCUUGAAUCCUGGGUGCAGCGUUUUGCUGCCUUGCUGUAGAUCUUCCCACUGCCUUUUGUUGCAGUUUGUACAGACCUCUCCCCCUCUCUCCUGUGUCUCCCUCUCCCUGUAAGUCCGGUCGGAACUGAUGAUAUGGAAAAUUCAGGUGGGCAGUCUUUCUCUGCCCCCCGGUGACGUUUCAAAAAAAAAAUUCCAUGUCAUUGCAAAAAUUAGAUUAAUUAAGAUGAAGUUGAUGUAGUACUGCAAAAGGUAAAUAAGUUAAUGUGAUUGAGUGGUGUACUGUGGGAAUAAAA